CGCCGCAGCAGGCUGGGUUACUGACCACCCCAGUCCCAGGGAAGGUGGGGCCCUGCCCCUAGGAUGCUGCAGCAGAGUGAGGAGGGGCCCACACUGCCCACAAGGGUGUAGGGGCCACCUUCUCCCCUGUUCUGUCGGGGAGGGGGUAGCCAUUAUUUGUCCCAGCCUGGGGCUCCCCCUCUGGUUUCCUAUUUGCAGUUACUUGAAUAAAAAAUAUCCUUUUCUGGA